rnacentral:rRNA from 1 species
UUGUAGCUGGCCGCANGGCAUGUGCACGCUCUCUACUCAAUCCAACCUUACACCUGUGCACCUAUUGUAGGUCGAGUGGCUGGACUUGUUCUGGUCGCUCUUCCUAUGUUUUACACAUACACUUGUAGUCUCAGAAUGUAAUCAGCGUAUAACGCAUUAUAAAACAACUUUCAACAACGGAUCUCUUGGCUCUCGCAUCGAUGAAGAACGCAGCGAAAUGCGAUAAGUAAUGUGAAUUGCAGAAUUCAGUGAAUCAUCGAAUCUUUGAACGCACCUUGCGCUCCUUGGUAUUCCGAGGAGCAUGCCUGUUUGAGUGUCAUGAAUAUCUCAACUCACCCGGUUUUUAUUAACUGUGGUGGGCUUGGACUUGGAGGUAUGCUGGCUGACUAGUCGGCUCCUCUCUAAAUGCAUUAGCUGGACCUGUUAUGGAUCAGUACUCGGUGUGAUAAUUGUCUACGCCGUGUCUGUGAAGUGCUUGAAUGGACUAGCUUCUAACCGUCUUCGGACAACUAUUGACAUUUUGACCUCAAAUCAGGUAGGAUUACCCGCUGAACUUAAGCAUAUCAAUAAGCGGAGGAA